GGUGAACCGUGUUAGAGAACGCCUGAACCUAUCUCAGCACAUGGCUUGGCAGACAUAAAAUUACUCUGUUGAAAUCACUAAAAAAUUUAUAAAUGCUUACUCUCAAUCUGUGCAUUUUGCUGUGGAUUAUGGACUGGCACCAGUUCCUGGAGCAACUUUGAGUAGCGCUGCCCUGGUUGGGGAAUGUUUAUUAAGCAGGUUGCCUGUUCACUCUGGGUAUAUACCCAAAGAAUUAUAAAUCAUGCUGCUAUAAAGACACAUGCACACGUAUGUUUAUUGCGGCACUACUCACAAUAGCAAA
rnacentral:lncRNA from 1 species